GUUUAGAACUGAAGAUUGCGGGUUGCCUCAACCAGACAGUUUCUACGAUAGUGAUCUGUUGUGCAAUAUUUUAUUUUAUUUGUUGCAUCACCAAAUGGGAUCGAAUGGAUGCGUUUCUCCAGGUACCAAAAUGGUAUCCCUUCACGUCGCAAAUUCCGCAAGCGGCAGCUACCUCCAAGUGCUGGUCGUGCUUGGCCACUGCGCGACCAACCAGGUCAGUAAAGUUGUGCAAGUUCGAGGCAAAAAGUUUUCGUUGAACGAAUUUGGUGGACGUGGAUAUUAACCCGUCAAAGUGCUUGUAUAUCCCGGGCCGCUGUACCUUUGGAUGGUGAGCGGUGCUGUCCAAGUAUACCGAGAAAACUGCCGGGUCUUCCACCGUAGAAACCAGAUUUUGAACUUCCGGCAACCUAUAGGACAAUAACUGUUGCUAUCGUUCAUUUCCAAAUAAAAACACGGAAAUAAUUUAAAAAAAGU